AUCUUUCUGCAUAAUUGUGUGUUUUCUUCCUGCAUCAGGUUUACUUUCUUAAAAGGUUCCAAAUUUUUCUGAUGGAUAAGGUUGCUCUGCAUUUGCAAAAUAGUUAAAAAGAAAAUUACAGAGAUCAUCAAGAAGCGAUAUGAUAAACCGUACAAAAAGUUUGGAGAUGUUCCUCUUUUGACAAAGAAGCUUUGGUUUAAGGAGUGGAAGGCAGCUGCCAGAGAAAAUGUGUGUGGGAGCUUUGCUGCUUGAAGGUGACAAUUAUGAGUUUUGGGUGACAUUGGGAUGUUUGUCUGAUCAAACAGUUGAAUGUAUCUCUAGCUAUUGCUUGGG